rnacentral:rRNA from 1 species
AGUGAACGCUGGCGGUAGGCCUAACACAUGCAAGUCGAACGGCAGCACAGGAGGGCUUGCUCUCUGGGUGGCGAGUGGCGGACGGGUGAGGAAUACAUCGGAAUCUACUCUGUCGUGGGGGAUAACGUAGGAAAACUUACGCUAAUACCGCGUACGACCUACGGGUGAAAGCAGGGGACCUUCGGGCCUUGCGCGAUUGAAUGAGCCGAUGUCGGAUUAGCUAGUUGGCGGGGUAAAGGCCCACCAAGGCGACGAUCCGUAGCUGGUCUGAGAGGAUGAUCAGCCACACUGGAACUGAGACACGGUCCAGACUCCUACGGGGGGCAGCGGUGGGGAAUAUUGGACAAUGGGCGCAAGCCUGAUCCAGCCAUACCACGUGGGUGAAGAAGGCCUUCGGGUUGUAAAGCCCUUUUGUUGGGAAAGAAAUCCAGCUGGCUAAUACCCGGUUGGGAUGACGGUACCCAAAGAAUAAGCACCGGCUAACUUCGUGCCAGCCGCCGCCGUAA